rnacentral:rRNA from 1 species
GAUGAACGCUGGCGGCGUGCUUAACACAUGCAAGUCGAACGGAAAGACCCUGCUUUUGUGGGGUGCUCGAUUGCCGAACGGGGGAGUAACACGUGAGUAACCUGCCCUUGUAUUUGGGAUAACUUCAGGAAACUGGGGCUAAUACCGGAUAGGAGCUCCUGCUCCGUGGGGGGGGUUGGAGAGUUUCGGCGUUUGGGGCUGGACUGGCGGGUUAUCAGCUUGUUGGGGGGGUAGGGGCGUACCAAGGGUUUGAAGGGUAGGCGGCAUGGGAGGGUGACCAGGCACCAUGGUACUAAGGGAGGCAGCAGAAGGGUAUGGGAGGCAGUAGGGGGAAGCAUUACACAGUGAGCGGAAGUGUGAUGCAGCAACCCCGGGUGCGUGAAGCCGUGUUUUGGGGUAUAAACAGCUGUCGCAUGAGACGAAGCGGGAGUGACGGUAACGGGUAAAGAAGCACCGGCUAACUACGUG